UACGUAGGGGGCAAGCGUUAUCCGGAAUCACUGGGCGUAAAGCGUGCGUAGGCGGGAGUUUAAGUGCAAUGCGAAAUCUUGUGGCUCAACCAUAUAGACUGUAUUGCAUACUGGACACCUAGAGGACGGCAGAGGCAAGUGGAAUUACUGGUGUAGCAGUGAAAUGCGUAGAUAUCAGUAGGAACACCAAUGGCGAAGGCAGCUUGCUGGGCCGACCCUGACGCUAAGGCACGAAAGCGUGGGGAGCGAACAGG
rnacentral:rRNA from 1 species